rnacentral:tRNA from 1 species
CCCCCCAUAGCUCAGUGGUAGAGACAGACACUUUUUUGCACAGUAAGGAAGGGGUCACGAGUUCAACUCUCGUUGGGGGCUC